AAGGCUUUAGCUUAAUUAAAGCGCCUGGGUUGCAUUCAGGAGAUGUGGGGUAGCGUCCUGCAAGUCUUA
rnacentral:tRNA from 1 species